rnacentral:rRNA from 1 species
GAUGAACGCUAGCGGGAGGCUUAACACAUGCAAGUCGAGGGGCAGCAUAGGGUAGCAAUACUCUGAUGGCGACCGGCAAACGGGUGAGUAACGCGUAUGCAACCUACCCUGUACAGGGGGAUAACCCGGAGAAAUUCGGACUAAUAUCCCGUAAUAAUAUCCGGAGGCAUCUUUGGAUAUUUAAAGUUUCGACGGUACGGGAUGGGCAUGCGUAACAUUAGCUGGUUGGUAAGGUAACGGCUUACCAAGGCUAUGAUGUUUAGGGGUCCUGAGAGGGUGGUCCCCCACACUGGUACUGAGACACGGACCAGACUCCUACGGGAGGCAGCAGUGAGGAAUAUUGGUCAAUGGGCGCAAGCCUGAACCAGCCAUCCCGCGUGCAGGAAGACGGCCCUAUGGGUUGUAAACUGCUUUUCCAGGGAGAGAAACUUACGCACGUGUUGCGUGACUGACGGUACCCUGGGAAUAAGCAUCGGCUAACUCCGUGCCAGCAGCCGCGGUAAACUGUCUACG